CAGAAAUUGAGGAAAUUGGUAUGCAACACACAUAUGCAUGGGACAACAAAAACUGAAAUAGUUGCUAAGUUGGUGCUUCAGCUUUCUGUUUUAAACCAAUAGGAGGAUAAUUAGACAUUUUACUGGAGCUUUUCUGGAACUUCGUAUUGCUUGGUAGUUGGUACCCUUCUAGAUGACUGUUUCAUCAGUGUUAAAAGCCCAUCUUCAAUAAUUGGGAUACGGGGUUUUUAUUUCUUCCAACCCUAAACUACUAGUAGGUGAAUCCUUUCUCUUGCUCAAGUUACUUACUGGUAUAGGUUUCAGGAGGUUUUUCCAUACACAUGACUUACAUGCAAAUGAGCAAAUGGUAUGAUAAACUUCUGGAAUGGCCACAAUUAGCGCUCUAUACAAUCAACAGCGGUUGCGUAUGGGAGUGGCUGGUCUUUGUUAUAUUGAUUGAAUGAGUUUAUGUAGUGUGAACAUGUGAUGUCAGUUUAAAAAAAAAAAAAACAACCUUGCGAGGUCUGUGAUGUCAGUUACAUGACUUUCCCUUCUCCACAACAGGGACACCUAGAAAAACAACCCUGCAAAAUUGCAUAGCAUAAUGGUUAACUUUUAUUACGGGAGCCAUGAAUUUUAUACCACUUAAACAUCAAUUGUAUGCUGAAAUCCCUACAUAAUGACUGAGUAGUAUUAUUAAUCGCAAUUGAUAACAAAUCUAAUUAUUACUAGGAAAGGAGAGGGAUGUACUUGUCGAGAGUGAGAGAAGUGGGCGUUGAGGGACGGAGGCGGGAGGAAGAGGAGAGAGAAAGGAGGGGUUAGGUUCUUCAGGUUGACAAGCAGCGUUGAGGUGCUCUCAGUCUCGAGCCUCGUGUCUUCAAGACGAGAGGUUUAAACUUCUGUGCACCUUCAAGAUGCGAUUGGCUUCAUGGAAUGGCGCUGUCUUACAUACUUCAGACCUCGCGAGGUUGUAUUUUUGUUUUGGAACUGACAUUGCAUGUUCAAGGUGUGAUGUCUUGUCCGCACAAAACAGACAUCUCUUCUCGACGAUUAAUUGGCUAUUAUUGAAUUUAUUUUAUAAUCUGGAUUGUUUACAUUAUAGAUAGAUAUCAUUAUAAACAAUAACCGUACCAAAAACCAUGCUAAUAGAAUAUCGGUCCUGCAAACCUCCUCCUACCAAUAAUUCCAAACAAAUUUGGAUAUCGAUACAUAUCUCACGAAUAUUAAUACACUUUCACAAAUUCGGUUCAUGUUUUCUGCUUAUUCCAUUUCAUUUGGCUUUAAAGGCAGGAAAUAAUUUUUCCCUGGUGUUUCAGCUGAGAAUAUGCAAAGGCAUAUCUUAUGCAGCAGUUGCUGCUCAUGCAGAUAAGAGUGGCAGACGGAAAUUGGCUGCUAUGUUCGUUUCAUUGAACAUGAACCACGUUCUUCCAAGCAGGUUCCUCUACUGUUAAGCGUUGGAGAAGAAGAUAAUGCUCUGACAAAGCAACUGAAAGUGGUGACACUGACCUUGGUUAUCUUGUUCUGUUUCAUAUAUGGCAGAAGAUUGGAGGCAGUGUAGUUCAAAACUUGGCAUGUAGUAGUAUUUUGGGAAUGCCGUGGGUGGUUUUUGUAGCAUUAGCGUGUCGAAGAACUCCUGGAGCUUGUCUUAGAAGAGAAUUCACCUCAAGAAGUUGUACACUUGCAUGUAUCGGCGUAGUGUGUUCUUAUGUUCUAAAUUGACCUCCAUAAUACUUGCUUUGAAUUUUUUCUAGUUUAAAUCUCUGAGCAUUUUCCCCUCUCCUUCAUGGGCUCUCUCCUGUUGUAA